rnacentral:rRNA from 1 species
GACGAACGCUGGCGGCGUGCCUAAUACAUGCAAGUAGAACGCUGAAGGAGGAGCUUGCUUCUCUGGAUGAGUUGCGAACGGGUGAGUAACGCGUGGGUAACCUGCCUGGUAGCGGGGGAUAACUAUUGGAAACGAUAGCUAAUACCGCAUAAGAGUAGAUGUUGCAUGACAUUUGCUUAAAAGGUGCAAUUGCAUCACUACCAGAUGGACCUGCGUUGUAUUAGCUAGUUGGUGGGGUAACGGCUUACCAAGGCGACGAUACAUAGCCGACCUGAGAGGGGGAUCGGCCACACUGGGACUGAGACACGGCCCUGACUCCUACGGGAGGCAGCAGUAGGGAAUCUUCGGCAAUGGACGGAAGUCUGACCGAGCAACGCCGCGUGAGUGAAGAAGGUUUUCGGAUCGUAAAGCUCUGUUGUAAGAGAAGAACGAGUGUGAGAGUGGAAAGUUCACACUGUGACGGUAUCUUACCAGAAAGGGACGGCUAACUACGUG